rnacentral:tRNA from 1 species
GGCCGAGUAAUUCAGCGGAAGAAUAGGCGUUUCCUAAACGCAAUGUCGUAGGUUCGAACCCUACCUUGGCCACCA